ACCAGUUUCCUUAAUUUCCCACCGAUUUUCAUGAAAAUUGCAUUGAUGCAAAGGGUAUUUAAUUUAGAAUCAAAAAUGUAUCUAUAAAAAAAUUAAAAAAUUGGGAAUUUCCAGAGUUACAGGGGUAUUUUCAAAAAUAUGACAAAUUAUCAAAGGUGUCUAAGAGGUAAACUGGACCAGUUCCCUUAAUUUCCCACCGAUUUUCAUGAAAAUUGCAUUGAUGCAAAGGGUUUUUAAUUUAGAAUAAUAAAUGUAUCUACAAAAAAAUUAAAAAAUUGGGAAUUUCCAGAGUUACAGGGGUAUUUUCAAAAAUAUGGCAAAUUAUCAAAGGUGUCUAAGAGGUAAACUGGACCAGUUUCCUUAAUUUCCCACCGAUUUUCAUGAAAAUUGCAUUGAUGCAAAGGGUUUUUAAUUUAGAAUCAAAAAUGUAUCUAUAAAAAAAUUAAAAAAUUGGGAAUUUCUAGAGUUACAGGGAUAUUUUCAAAAAUAUGGCAAAUUAUCAAAGGUGUCUAAGAGGUAAACUGGACCAGUUUCCUUAAUUUCCCACCGAUUUUCAUGAAAAUUGCAUUGAUGCAAAGGGUAUUUAAUUUAGAAUCAAAAAUGUAUCUAUAAAAAAAUUAAAAAAUUGGGAAUUUCCAGAGUUACAGGGGUAUUUUCAAAAAUAUGGCAAAUUAUCAAAGGUGUCUAAGAGGUAAACUGGACCAGUUUCCUUAAUUUCCCACCGAUUUUCAUGAAAAUUGCAUUGAUGCAAAGGGUAUUUAAUUUAGAAUCAAAAAUGUAUCUAUAAAAAAAUUAAAAAAUUGGGAAUUUCCAGAGUUACAGGGGUAUUUACAAAAAUAUGGCAAAUUAUCGAAGGUGUGUAAGAGGCAAACUGGACCAGUUUCCUUAAUUUCCCACCGAUUUUCAUGAAAAUUGCAUUGAUGCAAAGGGUAUUUAAUUUAGAAUCAAAAAUGUAUCUAUAAAAAAAUUAAAAAAUUGGGAAUUUCCAGAGUUACAGGGGUAUUUACAAAAAUAUGGCAAAUUAUCAAAGGUGUCUAAGAGGUAAACUGGACCAGUUUCCUUAAUUUCCCACCGAUUUUCAUGAAAAUUGCAUUGAUGCAAAGGGUAUUUAAUUUAGAAUCAAAAAUGUAUCUAUAAAAAAAUUAAAAAAUUGGGAAUUUCCAGAGUUACAGGGGUAUUUACAAAAAUAUGGCAAAUUAUCGAAGGUGUGUAAGAGGCAAACUGGACCAGUUUCCUUAAUUUCCCACCGAUUUUCAUGAAAAUUGCAUUGAUGCAAAGGGUAUUUAAUUUAGAAUCAAAAAUGUAUCUAUAAAAAAAUUAAAAAAUUGGGAAUUUCCAGAGUUACAGGGGUAUUUUCAAAAAUAUGGCAAAUUAUCAAAGGUGUCUAAGAGGUAAACUGGACCAGUUCCCUUAAUUUCCCACCGAUUUUCAUGAAAAUUGCAUUGAUGCAAAGGGUAUUUAAUUUAGAAUCAAAAAUGUAUCUAUAAAAAAAUUAAAAAAUUGGGAAUUUCCAGAGUUACAGGGGUAUUUUCAAAAAUAUGGCAAAUUAUCAAAGGUGUCUAAGAGGUAAACUGGACCAGUUUCCUUAAUUUCCCACCGAUUUUCAUGAAAAUUGCAUUGAUGCAAAGGGUAUUUAAUUUAGAAUCAAAAAUGUAUCUAUAAAAAAAUUAAAAAAUUGGGAAUUUCCAGAGUUACAGGGGUAUUUUCAAAAAUAUGGCAAAUUAUCGAAGGUGUCUAAGAGGCAAACUGGACCAGUUCCCUUAAUUUCCCACCGAUUUUCAUGAAAAUUGCAUUGAUGCAAAGGGUAUUUAAUUUAGAAUCAAAAAUGUAUCUAUAAAAAAAUUAAAAAAUUGGGAAUUUCCAGAGUUACAGGGGUAUUUACAAAAAUAUGGCAAAUUAUCAAAGGUGUCUAAGAGGUAAACUGGACCAGUUUCCUUAAUUUCCCACCGAUUUUCAUGAAAAUUGCAUUGAUGCAAAGGGUAUUUAAUUUAGAAUCAAAAAUGUAUCUAUAAAAAAAUUAAAAAAUUGGGAAUUUCUAGAGUUACAGGGAUAUUUUCAAAAAUAUGGCAAAUUAUCAAAGGUGUCUAAGAGGUAAACUGGACCAGUUCCCUUAAUUUCCCACCGAUUUUCAUGAAAAUUGCAUUGAUGCAAAGGGUAUUUAAUUUAGAAUCAAAAAUGUAUCUAUAAAAAAAUUAAAAAAUUGGGAAUUUCCAGAGUUACAGGGGUAUUUUCAAAAAUAUGGCAAAUUAUCGAAGGUGUCUAAGAGGUAAACUGGACCAGUUCCCUUAAUUUCCCACCGAUUUUCAUGAAAAUUGCAUUGAUGCAAAGGGUAUUUAAUUUAGAAUCAAAAAUGUAUCUAUAAAAAAAUUAAAAAAUUGGGAAUUUCCAGAGUUACAGGGGUAUUUUCAAAAAUAUGGCAAAUUAUCAAAGGUGUAUAAGAGGUAAACUGGACCAGUUUCCUUAAUUUCCCACCGAUUUUCAUGAAAAUUGCAUUGAUGCAAAGGGUAUUUAAUUUAGAAUAAAAAAUGUAUCUAUAAAAAAAUUAAAAAAUUGGGAAUUUCCAGAGUUACAGGGGUAUUUUCAAAAAUAUGGCAAAUUAUCAAAGGUGUAUAAGAGGUAAACUGGACCAGUUUCCUUAAUUUCCCACCGAUUUUCAUGAAAAUUGCAUUGAUGCAAAGGGUAUUUAAUUUAGAAUCAAAAAUGUAUCUAUAAAAAAAUUAAAAAAUUGGGAAUUUCCAGAGUUACAGGGGUAUUUUCAAAAAUAUGGCAAAUUAUCAAAGGUGUAUAAGAGGUAAACUGGACCAGUUUCCUUAAUUUCCCACCGAUUUUCAUGAAAAUUGCAUUGAUGCAAAGGGUAUUUAAUUUAGAAUCAAAAAUGUAUCUACAAAAAAUAUUAAAAAUUGGAAAUUUUCAAAGUUACAGGGGUAUUUUCAAAAAUAUGACAAAUUAUCGAAGGUGUCUAAGAGGUAAACUGGACCAGUUCCCUUAAUUUCCCACCGAUUUUCAUGAAAAUUGCAUUGAUGCAAAGGGUAUUUAAUUUAGAAUCAAAAAUGUAUCUAUAAAAAAAUUAAAAAAUUGGGAAUUUCCAGAGUUACAGGGGUAUUUACAAAAAUAUGGCAAAUUAUCGAAGGUGUGUAAGAGGCAAACUGGACCAGUUUCCUUAAUUUCCCACCGAUUUUCAUGAAAAUUGCAUUGAUGCAAAGGGUAUUUAAUUUAGAAUCAAAAAUGUAUCUAUAAAAAAAUUAAAAAAUUGGGAAUUUCCAGAGUUACAGGGGUAUUUACAAAAAUAUGGCAAAUUAUCAAAGGUGUGUAAGAGGCAAACUGGACCAGUUUCCUUAAUUUCCCACCGAUUUUCAUGAAAAUUGCAUUAAUGCAAAGGGUAUUUAAUUUAGAAUCAAAAAUGUAUCUAUAAAAAAAUUAAAAAAUUGGGAAUUUCUAGAGUUACAGGGAUAUUUUCAAAAAUAUGGCAAAUUAUCGAAGGUGUGUAAGAGGCAAACUGGACCAGUUUCCUUAAUUUCCCACCGAUUUUCAUGAAAAUUGCAUUGAUGCAAAGGGUAUUUAAUUUAGAAUCAAAAAUGUAUCUACAAAAAAUAUUAAAAAUUGGAAAUUUUCAAAGUUACAGGGGUAUUUUCAAAAAUAUGACAAAUUAUCGAAGGUGUCUAAGAGGUAAACUGGACCAGUUCCCUUAAUUUCCCACCGAUUUUCAUGAAAAAUUGCAUUGAUGCAAAGGGUAUUUAAUUUAGAAUCAAAAAUGUAUCUAUAAAAAAAUUAAAAAAUUGGGAAUUUCCAGAGUUACAGGGGUAUUUACAAAAAUAUGGCAAAUUAUCAAAGGUGUGUAAGAGGCAAACUGGACCAGUUUCCUUAAUUUCCCACCGAUUUUCAUGAAAAUUGCAUUGAUGCAAAGGGUAUUUAAUUUAGAAUCAAAAAUGUAUCUAUAAAAAAAUUAAAAAAUUGGGAAUUUCUAGAGUUACAGGGAUAUUUUCAAAAAUAUGGCAAAUUAUCAAAGGUGUCUAAGAGGUAAACUGGACCAGUUUCCUUAAUUUCCCACCGAUUUUCAUGAAAAUUGCAUUGAUGCAAAGGGUAUUUAAUUUAGAAUCAAAAAUGUAUCUAUAAAAAAAUUAAAAAAUUGGGAAUUUCUAGAGUUACAGGGAUAUUUUCAAAAAUAUGGCAAAUUAUCAAAGGUGUCUAAGAGGUAAACUGGACCAGUUCCCUUAAUUUCCCACCGAUUUUCAUGAAAAUUGCAUUGAUGCAAAGGGUAUUUAAUUUAGAAUCAAAAAUGUAUCUAUAAAAAAAUUAAAAAAUUGGGAAUUUCCAGAGUUACAGGGGUAUUUUCAAAAAUAUGACAAAUUAUCAAAGGUGUCUAAGAGGUAAACUGGACCAGUUCCCUUAAUUUCCCACCGAUUUUCAUGAAAAUUGCAUUGAUGCAAAGGGUAUUUAAUUUAGAAUCAAAAAUGUAUCUAUAAAAAAAUUAAAAAAUUGGGAAUUUCCAGAGUUACAGGGGUAUUUACAAAAAUAUGGCAAAUUAUCGAAGGUGUGUAAGAGGCAAACUGGACCAGUUUCCUUAAUUUCCCACCGAUUUUCAUGAAAAUUGCAUUGAUGCAAAGGGUAUUUAAUUUAGAAUCAAAAAUGUAUCUAUAAAAAAAUUAAAAAAUUGGGAAUUUCUAGAGUUACAGGGAUAUUUUCAAAAAUAUGGCAAAUUAUCAAAGGUGUCUAAGAGGUAAACUGGACCAGUUCCCUUAAUUUCCCACCGAUUUUCAUGAAAAUUGCAUUGAUGCAAAGGGUAUUUAAUUUAGAAUCAAAAAUGUAUCUAUAAAAAAAUUAAAAAAUUGGGAAUUUCCAGAGUUACAGGGGUAUUUACAAAAAUAUGGCAAAUUAUCGAAGGUGUAUAAGAGGCAAACUGGACCAGUUUCCUUAAUUUCCCACCGAUUUUCAUGAAAAUUGCAUUGAUGCAAAGGGUAUUUAAUUUAGAAUCAAAAAUGUAUCUAUAAAAAAAUUAAAAAAUUGGGAAUUUCCAGAGUUACAGGGGUAUUUUCAAAAAUAUGACAAAUUAUCAAAGGUGUCUAAGAGGUAAACUGGACCAGUUCCCUUAAUUUCCCACCGAUUUUCAUGAAAAUUGCAUUGAUGCAAAGGGUAUUUAAUUUAGAAUAAAAAAUGUAUCUAUAAAAAAAUUAAAAAAUUGGGAAU